rnacentral:tRNA from 2 species
AAAGCACUAGUAAAACCAUUACACCGCUUUGUCAAGGCGGAAUUGCAAGUUGAACCCUUGCGUGUUUUA